CCCCCAUGAUAUGACCAAGAUUCAUGCGUUGAUCACAGGUCCCUUUGACACGCCUUACGAAGGGGGUUUCUUCUUGUUCCUGUUUCGCUGUCCUCCAGAUUAUCCUAUCCAUCCGCCGCGGGUCAAACUGAUGACAACUGGGAAUAAUACAGUGAGGUUUAACCCUAACUUCUACCGAAAUGGGAAGGUCUGCCUCAGUAUUCUAGGCACGUGGACUGGUCCAGCCUGGAGU